GACGAACGCUGGCGGCGUGCUUAACACAUGCAAGUCGAACGGAAAGGCUCUGCUUUUGUGGGGUACUCGAGUGGCGAACGGGUGAGUAACACGUGAGUAACCUGCCCUUGACUUUGGGAUAACUUCAGGAAACUGGGGCUAAUACUGGAUAUGAGCUCCUUCUUCAUGGUGGGUGUUGGAAAGUUUCGGCGGUUGGGGAUGGACUCGCGGCUUAUCAGCUUGUUGGUGGGGUAGUGGCUUACCAAGGCUUUGACGGGUAGCCGGCCUGAGAGGGUGACCGGCCACAUUGGGACUGAGAUACGGCCCAGACUCCUACGGGAGGCAGCAGUGGGGAAUAUUGCACAAUGGGCGGAAGCCUGAUGCAGCAACGCCGCGUGAGGGAUGACGGCCUUCGGGUUGUAAACCGCUUUCGCCUGUGACGAAGCGUGAGUGACGGUAAUGGGUAAAGAAGCACCGGCUAACUACGUG
rnacentral:rRNA from 1 species